ensembl:lncRNA
UUUUAUUUUUGCAAAUACGUUCACUUUAUUUGUAUUUUUUACCACAAAAUAAUGAAAUAUGCAGCAUCCCUUAAUUUUUACAUUAAAAAUAGUUAUUACAAUCAAUGAUAUGAGCAUUAUAUGGAUACAAGUAUGAAGUUGCAGUGCAAAGGCUUACAAAAUCUUGAGCAAAAUCAAAUAUAUUACUUUAAAAUUCUUUACCCUAAAUUACAGAGGUGCAAAUGAUCCCUUUGGGCCUCAACCAAUAUCCACAUAAAAUUAGUUCAAACAUAUUUCAUUUAGAUCUAAUAAAACUAUUCAAAAUAAAAAAUCCACCUUGUAUAAACUCACCUUUCCAUGUUAAGACUCCUCCUUACCUGUCCACAAAUAAAAUAUAGGUGAUCAACUAAAUCCUCCGGUCUUUUUACUGACCCUUAUUCCAAUCACAGAGGAGGCUUUACCUCUUCUCUGUGUCUGGUCAGGUCUGGUCAGGUUUGGUCUGGUCAUUAUGCUGGUCAGGUCAGGUCUGGUCAGGUAUGGUCAUUAUGCUGGUCAGGUCAGGUCAGGUCUGGUCAGGUCAGGUCAGGUCUGGUCAGGUCUGGUCAGGUCAGGUCAGGUCAGGUCUGGUCAGGUCUGGUCAGGUCAGGUCUGGUCUGGUCAGGUCAGGUCUGGUCAGGUCUGGUCAGGUCAGGUCUGGUCAGGUCAGGUCAGGUCUGGUCAGGUCUGGUCAGGUCAGGUCUGGUCAGGUCAGGUCAGGUCAGGUCAGGUCUGGUCAGGUCAGGUCAGGUCAGGUCUGGUCAGGACAUUAUGUUGGUCAGGUCUGGUCAGGACAUUAUGCUGGUCAGGUCUGGUCAGGACAUCAUGCUGGUCUGGUCUGGACAUUAUGCUGGUCAGGUCUGGUCAGGUCUGGUCAGGACAUUAUGCUGGUCGGGUCAGGACAUUAUGCUGGCCAGGUCUGGUCAGGACAUUAUGCUGGUCGGGUCAGGACAUUAUGCUGGCCAGGUCUGGUCAGGACAUUAUGCUGGUCAGGUCUGGUCUGGUCAGGUCAGGUCUGGUCAGGACAUUAUGCUGGUCAGGUCUGGUCAGGUCAGGUCAGGUCUGGUCAGGACAUUAUGCUGGUCAGGUCAGGUCUGGUCUGGUCAGGUCUGGUCAGGUCAGGUCUGGUCAGGUUUGGUCAGGACAUUAUGUUGGUCAGGUCUGGUCAGGACAUUAUGCUGGUCAGGUCUGGUCUGGUCAGGUCAGGUCUGGUCAGGUCUGGCCAAGUCUGGUCUGGUCAGGACAUUAUGCUGGUCAGGUCUGGUCAGGACAUUAUGCUGGUCUCGUCUGGACAUUAUGCUGGUCAGGUCUGGUCUGGUCAGGUCAGGUCUGGUCACAACAUUAUGCUGGUCAGGUCAGGUCAGGUCUGGUCAGGUCUGGUCAGGACAUUAUGCUGGUCAGGUCUGGUCUGGUCAGGUCUGGUCUGGUCAGGUCAGGUUGGUCUGGUCAGGUCUGGUCUGGUCUGGUCUGGUCUGGUCUGGUCAGGUCAGGUCUGGUCAGGUCAUGUCUAAAGUCUGGUCAGGUCUGGCCUGGUCUGGUCUGGUCAGGUCUGGUCUGGUCAGGUCUGGUCAGGACAUUAUGCUGGUCUGGUCUGGUCAGGACAUUAUGCUGGUCAGGUCUGGUCAGGUCAGGUCAGGUCAGGUCAGGUCAGGUCAGGUCAGGUCAGGUCUGGAUCUGGUCAGGUCAGGACAUUAUGCUGGUCUGGUCAGGGCAGGUCUGGUUAGGUCUGGACAGGUCAGGUCAGGUCAGGACAUUAUGCAGGUCUGGUCAGUUCUGGUCAGGUCUGGUCAGGUCUGGUCAGGACAUUGAUGCUUGAUCCUUUCACUGCAUUGCCAUUGUAGCCUCAGCAUCUGAAAAUACACAAGACAACAGAAUAAUCUGAUUAGGACAUAGAACAUUUC